rnacentral:rRNA from 1 species
GCUCAACCGGGGAGGGUCAUUGGAAACUGGGGAACUUGAGUGCAGAAGAGGAGAGUGGAAUUCCACGUGUAGCGGUGAAAUGCGUAGAGAUGUGGAGGAACACCAGUGGCGAAGGCGACUCUCUGGUCUGUAACUGACGCUGAGGCGCGAAAGCGUGGGGAGCGAACAGGAUUAGAUACCCUGGUAGUCCACGCCGUAAACGAUGAGUGCUAAGUGUUAGAGGGUUUCCGCCCUUUAGUGCUGCAGCAAACGCAUUAAGCACUCCGCCUGGGGAGUACGGUCGCAAGACUGAAACUCAAAGGAAUUGACGGGGGCCCGCACAAGCGGUGGAGCAUAUGGUUUAAUUCGAAGCAACGCGAAGAACCUUACCAGGUCUUGACAUCCUCUGACAACCCUAGAGAUAGGGCUUCCCCUUCGGGGGCAGAGUGACAGGUGGUGCAUGGUUGUCGUCAGCUCGUGUCGUGGGAUGUUGGGUUAAGUCCCGCAACGAGCGCAACCCUUGAUCUUAGUUGCCAGCAUUCAGUUGGGCACUCUAAGGUGACUGCCGGUGACAAACCGGAGGAAGGUGGGGAUGACGUCAAAUCAUCAUGCCCCUUAUGACCUGGGCUACACACGUGCUACAAUGGGCAGAACAAAG